rnacentral:rRNA from 1 species
UACGUAGGUGGCAAGCGUUGUCCGGAUUUACUGGGCGUAAAGAGCGCGCAGGCGGUCGUUCAAGUCGCGUGUGAAAGCCCCCGGCUCAACUGGGGAGGGUCACGCGAUACUGAUCGACUCGAAGGCAGGAGAGGGAAGUGGAAUUCCCGGUGUAGUGGUGAAAUGCGUAGAUAUCGGGAGGAACCCCAGUGGCGAAGGCGCCUUCCUGGCCUGUUCUUGACGCUGAGGCGCGAAAGCUAGGGGAGCAAACGGG